AAGGAACGUAGUGUUUGUGGAGGUCCUGGCCAAGGUACGGUGCUCCAGCAAUGGGAUGCAGCAGUGUGCUUAAUGAGGUGCUGAUUUACUCCUUGGGUUUUCUUUGUGGUUUACCUCAGCCCAGACUCAGCCAGGCUCUGGGUGCCCAUGCCUUUGGUGUCGCAUUGCCAAACAGCAGCAAGCUGCAAUAGUAUCAGCUCAGCAGUGAUGUGCAGACACCUGGAAGUCCCUCAGCAAAGCCAUGUUUGGCAGUGAGUCCUGUCUGGGCGGUGCUCCUGGAGCUGACUGCAUCCCAUAUCUCACCAGGUGUGCGCCUGGCAUUCACAGAGAACGAAGUCCUGUGCACCACAACCACAGGAAGGAUGUGGGGAGCCGUGAUCCUGUGCAGCAAAUCUGCGCCUUCUAAGCUGCUUCAGGUGUUCACAUCGAGACCAUCACCAGCGAGGCCACUGUUAAUCACUUUUCAUCCUGAAGAAGGACCCCAGCUGACUGAUGCCUCUUAGAACCAUAGAACCGUUAAUGUUGGAAAAGAUCACCAAGUUCAACCCCAAUCCAUCCCCACCAUGCCCUUAACAGCGUCCCUCAGUACCACAUCUCCAUGGUUCUGGAACACCUCCAGGGAUGGUGACACCACCACUCCUCGUGCAGCUGUGCCACUGCGCCAUCGUUCUUUCAGAGAAGAAAUUUUUCCUAAUAUCCAACUCUUCAAGACCAAAGUAGUGUUACUUGUUAUCAGACUGGACAGAAGGGAUCUGAGCCAGGACUGGGCAGUGGGGACCAUCUUGCUGUCCUCUCACAUGUUGGCGCUCAUCCCGGCCUCUUCACACACAAAGAUGACAUUGUUGAUGGGCCAGCAGCUGUUUGGAAGCUGCCAGACCUUUGCUGCUUGGUGAGCUUUUCUCUUCGAGCUUGGGAAAUGUCCCCAGUGGGAGCUGUGACCUGCCACUGCUGUCACCUGUGGGAAUGCAACACCUGCAGACCCCAGCCGGCUCCUUCCUGCUCCUUCAUCUUGGAAUACCAGCUGCAGGUUGCUUAUCAUCGGUCCGAGCCCUGAAGCAGAGGUACUGAUUCCGAUCUGCAGCUGCAGCCGGGCUUAAAUCUUGAUCUGCAAACGGUGAGACUGAGCGCUGAGUGUGCAGAGACAUUAUUAGAUUAUUAAAUCAAUGACACUCAGGUUAUUAGUCACACUCAUCCGCAUUACCUGACACCGUAAUGAUGUUCUAUUUUUACUUCCAUCCUGCUAAUGUCCCAGAGGUACUGAAAUUAUGACCAGAAAAUUAAUUUCUAUACAUUUGAACAAGAAAUAGAAGUAUAGGGAAUAAUCUCACAUCGACGAUAUAAAUCCUGGUGGAGUUGUUUAGAAAAGCAACCGGGAGAGGGAGAGGGCUGAGAACGGUGCCUCAGAUGCAGCCUUCUCUGUAUUCAGUGCCCAGCUCUCAUGGAUGCUCUGGCUGAUAACUGGGCCAGGCUAUUUCAGCCGGUAACUCAUUUGGGGCAAUUAGGACUCGUGAGCUGGCGUUAAUGAUCUCACUCCCUCAGCCAAUGCUUUCUUGCAGAAUCCCUCUGUUGUCACAACGGGCUGAAAUCAAACCCAGGAAACAGAAAAAGGCCAGCACAUGGCAAGAUGUUGUUUAUGUUUUCAGAAAUUACUCAAGUGCAAGCAAAUUAUCAUCUCAGCCCCCGGGCUGAGCAGAGGAGGGAGGCUUGAUCCGCCUGCAGCCUGCAUUGGGUCUUCUCUCUGCUCCAUGUGAAACGCCCCCCCCCCCCCUCCAAGGAUGCUGAGCAUCCAUCCCACCCCCAUCUGACCAAGCAGCACCAGCACCUUGACCCUGCAGCCGGGGAGAUGCAAAAAAGUGGCUCAAAGGGCUCUACUACCCUUUAUAAAUGCCUGAAUGGGAACUGCAAUGGGGUACGGGUAUGGGGUGGUGCUGGAGCAGGAUGGGGACAGUACCAGCAGGGAUGGAGAGCAGAGCAUGGAGGGGAGGUGAGUGAGGGGGUGGCGGCAUGGUGACCCUGAGCACCAGUAUGGCUUCCCAUUGCAUGCACAGCUUAUGGGGAGAAGCAUAUGGUGAAACAUCCCCUAGGGAAAGCCAUUCUCACCCUUCCCCACGCCGCCCACAGCCCCAGCUACUUGCAAUUUCCCUGAGCUUAUUGAGUACUGGGAGCACGUCUACAUAUUGCUUAAUUAUAGCUUGGUAUGAAUGCAUGUCUUAACAGCGCAUUUAUUUCAUGUUUGCAAUUAAUGUGGAAACAAGUGUUGGUGCUCGCUCUGCCCCAGAUGGAGCAGGGAGAUUUCCUGACAUCUUCCAGUGAAUAAAAAAGGAGUGAUGUAUGAGCCCCAGAGUGUAGGUAUGCACUGUCAGUACCUGCUAAGUGCAUGUUGCAGGAUGUUCUCGUGAGCAAAGUUUGUAGUAGAACCAUAAUGAGCUGUUUAGGUGUAAUUAAAAGGUGGGGUGAGAACUUGCAUGGAAAUCCUCCUCUCCAGGCUUUGGGAAGCCUGCUAAUAAGACGUAAAUAUCUAGCAGCUCAGCUGGAGCACAGUGUGUUCUUUGGUUAAACAUUAAAGGGGCAUUGUCAAGUGGUUUUAAUUAAUUAGCUAGGCUUUGAAUGAAAUCAAAUCAAUUUGGAGCAGUUGGGCUCAAAAUUAGAGAUGUUUUCACCUGGUGGAAAAUGUCCUUCAAAUGCCAAAUAUCUUAAAAGUUAGAAAAAAAUUAAGAAUGCCUUUGAGAUAUUGCAUCUCGAUAUCCCUGGAGGUGUUCCAGAACCAUGGGGAUGUGGCGCUGUGGGACAUGGCUAUGGGCGUGGUGGAAGUGGGUUGGGUUUGGGCUUGGGGAAUCUCAGUGGUCUUUUCCAACCUUAGUGAUGCUGUGGUUCUCUGAUUCUGUGUUUUCACUGAUGUCAUUGCUGACCAUGGGAGGCUGCUGGUAGCGCACGCUCAGCCUGCACCGUCUCUGAGCUUUCUGCCCACUUUUGGCCAUAGAAGCACUGGGAGUUACAAAAUUCCUCUUGUGCUUUUAGGAAAAGAAACGCUGUUCUUGAUAUUGACUUUUUAAAAGCAAAAGAAUUGAACAAAAUGAGAGCGCAGGCACUUCUUAUUAGGCCAGCACAAUGCCAUAUAUUAUCCUGGAUGUUUUGUGUUAGAUUUAGGGGGGAAAAAUCAACACCAACUCCCUGUGACACAAUAGGCUAUAACUGCUGGAAGCCGUUAUGGGCUAUUAUGUGAAGCCGUUACAGUCUAUUGAGUAAAUAAUCUACAGAUUAAAGCUUUCUAAGUACACAGUAACUUGAUAGGUAACCAAAGAAGCCAUUACAGUAUGUCACGUCAAUAAGGGGAGGCUUACGGCUCCUCACGCUUUGUACAGUGACAGAUCUAUCCGCCAUAAACCAAAGCGGUCGCCUUUUGGAGAGCCAAACCAAACAACCAAACCGCAGUGCAGCCGUGCUCAUGGGGCCGAGGAUUCGGGAUUGCAGCAAGGGCUGAGCGUGCAAAGCGCUGCUGCUCCUGAUCUGCUCACCCCUUCCUGCACCGCGGGCACCCACGGCGCUUCGCUGCAGAGAGUUUGUGAGUGCUCACACGGCUCAGUGCUUCCCCAGCCCCCCCCGGCACCCCUCCUGCCCCACCUUGCAGGGCCUCAACCUCCUGCCGGCAUUUAAUUACUCCGAGCUCCCAGCCUCGCCGGUGUGUUUAAUAUGAGCUAUGUAAAUUUCUCCCAAGAAUGAUAGGAUUUUGACAGCCUGAUUUGCCUCGCAGGCAUACUCAAGCCAGCUCAUUUUCUCUUCCCUGGAAAUUUUUGAGUGGUCGGGUGGCAUUUGAUUACCAUUGGCUGGCAUAUCUGAGCUCUGGGGUUGAGCAUAAAGAUAUUUUAAAUUUAAUAGGUUUAAGAUGUCAUUAUUUCCAUGCUGAUGAAUUUAUACUUGUAGCCAGAGAAACUUAGAGCAUUUAAUGAACUUAUUUAGUUCAUGGUGCAAGCUUUAAACGCAAUCCCAAGUAUAAAAUUAAAUCAUGUUGGAUAAAAACUAACACCCAGAAGCUAAAACUGAGCGGGGUAAAUGAAUGAAUUUAUAAAGAUAGAAUAAAUACAGACAUAAGGCACCUAGGGGACAGAUUUACUAAGACUUUUUGCACUGUUUUCAAUGGAGCUUGUAAUAGCAUAAAAGAAUUAAAUCUGAUUUACUAGGGAGGAUUUGUACAGUAUUUCACCACCUGCUUCCCAGUGCCAGCAGCCCCUUCCCCAUCGCUCUCACCGUCAGCAGGAGCUCUGGGCACAGCCAAACAUGUGGCAGAGAAAUCUCCAGCUUUGCUGAAAAGUGCACAAGCAACCGGAGAAGAAAGCAAUGCAAUCCAAGAGGAUCAACAGAGCCAUUAUAUGAAAAUCAAUUCUAAUUCUAACCCAGUCAAUAAGGAGCUGCAUCAGAUGGGAGAGGGAUGGGUGUGCCGUGGUAGCUUUGAAGUCUCCUUCCCAGGCUCUCUGUGCCAAGGCCUUACUGAAUGUCUUUCAAACCCUACACACUUUCAUAGUCUGCACAAAGAAGGUAGCACCUCAGUAGUAAUAGGAGUCUGCAGUUUUCCCCAUAAAACAUUGCCCGGGCAAUGUGGGGUCAUGAGACUCAGGACAGGUUUGGAAAUGCCAUAAAAAACCUUUCCUAUCUGAAGCAAUCAGAAAGCCCAGGUGAGGAAAUGCAACUCUUGAUUCAUUCCUGGGGAACUCACUGAAGACGUAACUACAAAUGAGCUAUUCUCUACAGUAGUGACUGAUCUUAUCACAUUCAACAUCCUUAUGGAACAGCAUGAUAGAAAAGAUGCAUUUCACUUUAAAAGGAGGAGAUGAAUGAGGAGAAGAAUGAGGAAGCAAGCUAAGAAGAUACUGGAACAAACAUCAAAUUAAAAAAAUAUAUAGUUACAUUAGUGCUACCUACAAGCAGAUAUUGCUCGUUUUGGUGCUUAACAAAAGCAAAUGCUCUGGAAAGUAAGCCAGCGGGACAACACUGGAUGAUGGGCAUUAGAACCAGAGACUUCUUUUAAACAUCUAAAGGAGGCAUUCGUGGGAUCCUGGACUAGUAAAAGUUAGGAAAUUAGGACUAGGAAUCAAGUCCUAUCAGAUUUUGCAGAGGAUGGAAAAUUCAGUAGAAAUUCAAGAGGUAUUUGUGUUACUCACAAAUGAAGAAUGAUGGGCUCUAAGUCAGCACCUGCCCAUAAUCAGGGUGUGCCUUUAUGGCUCCUCCUCUCCAAGCACUGGCUCCGUCCUAAUGAGCUCAGUCCUACCUGAAGGUCUGUUUGCCUAUGGCAGAAAUAUCAAAGGAGAACAGAAGGUACAGAGAAGGCAACAAAUACCUUUAGACAUAGGACGCAGGGACCAGCCCCUUCCAGCCUGAAUGAUUCUAUCAGUGGGCAUGGUGGUGAUGGUUGAACUUGAUGACCUUGGAGGCCUUUUUCAACCUUAACGAUUCUAUGACUCCAUAACCCUAUGAAGGAAACACUAAAUAUGCUUAGGGCUCUUGCUUGGGAAGGAUAUAAUUGAAGAGGGAGACAGGUAAAAUAUGGGCUGUCCUGAGUGAUAUGAAGGUAGAUAGGGAUGAGCAUCACUCCGUACUCUCCCAAAACUCCCGAUCCGGGAAGAAGAGGGUUUGUUGCUUUCUUUCUUUAUCUGGAGUCACAGCACUCAGCCGUACCGCUGAGCGACCGGCCGCCAAUCGAGCGGGUCAACAAUUUUCCAGCAGAACAGUUUUUUGAGCCACUUUCUGUUGGGAAGCGCUGAUUUGAUGGGAUCAAGAUGCUUUGUGGGAACACAUCAAUGCCAUCAAGCCGUCAGUAGAAGCCAGACAUCUGCCCGUCCUCCUCGCCUGCUGCCCAGCUGGCUGGCUCAUGGGGACAGCUGGGCCGCCGCACUGCAGCCAGUAGCAUGCCUGAUUUUACUUUACUUUGUCAUUAGUCUAUUUCUAUUCCAUUUUUUUUUAACUUCAUUUGAACAACUACAUUUUAUGCCCGCUGUACUUGCACCACCAAAAGUGCUCCGUUGCCAAUCAGAAUAUCAGACAUCAAAUCAAAGCACAAGUCGCGCAAUGGGUAUCAUUUAUAUUAUAAUUUAAAUGAGUUUUUAGGUCUACAUUUUAAAGUACAGAGAUGCACCAAUGUGAAGAGUAUGUGCAGUAAGAAGCCAGCACGUUUUUAUUUGUAUAUCAUAUCACGCAUUAACACAGUCACAUUUUGUGCUGUACAGAGCUGGAGUCUGUGAUGACAAAAUAAAAGCUAUAUUUGAAUCUCUUUCUAACUUUACUGGG
rnacentral:lncRNA from 1 species